rnacentral:rRNA from 1 species
GAUGAACGCUAGCUACAGGCUUAACACAUGCAAGUCGAGGGACCGGCGCACGGGUGAGUAACACGUAUCCAACCUGCCCUUUACUCGGGGAUAGCCUUUCGAAAGAAAGAUUAAUACCCGAUAUAAAGGAUGGGGAUGAGUUCCAUUAGGUUGUUGGUGAGGUAACGGGUCACCAAGCCUUCUAUGGAUAGGGGUUCUGGGGGGGAGGUCCCCCACCAUGGAACUGAGGCACCGUCCAAACUCCUACGGGAGGCAGCAGUGGGGAAUAUUGGUCAAUGGGCGGGAGCCUGAACCAGCCAAGUAGCGGUAAGGAUGAAGGCUUAUGGGUCGUAAACUUCUUUUAUAUAAGAAUAUGUAUUAUAUGAAUAAGGAUCGGCUAACUCCGUGCCAGCAGCCGCGGUAAUAC